rnacentral:rRNA from 1 species
AUUGAACGCUGGCAGCAUGCCUUACACAUGCAAGUCGAACGGCAGCACGGGAGCAAUCCUGGUGGCGAGUGGCGAACGGGUGAGUAAUAUAUCGGAACGUGCCCAGUCAUGGGGGAUAACGCAGCGAAAGCUGUGCUAAUACCGCAUACGAUCUAUGGAUGAAAGCGGGGGACUCGCAAGGGCCUCGCGCGAUUGGAGCGGCCGAUAUCAGAUUAGGUAGUUGGUGGGGUAAAGGCUCACCAAGCCGACGAUCUGUAGCUGGUCUGAGAGGACGACCAGCCACACUGGAACUGAGACACGGUCCAGACUCCUACGGGAGGCAGCAGUGGGGAAUUUUGGACAAUGGGCGCAAGCCUGAUCCAGCAAUGCCGCGUGCAGGAUGAAGGCCUUCGGGUUGUAAACUGCUUUUGUACGGAACGAAAAGGCUCUGGUUAAUACCUGGGGCUCAUGACGGUACCGUAAGAAUAAGCACCGGCUAACUACGUGCCAGCAGCCGCAGUAACAC